rnacentral:rRNA from 1 species
GGGGAAUAUUGCACAAUGGGCGCAAGCCUGAUGCAGCCAUGCCGCGUGUGUGAAGAAGGCCUUCGGGUUGUAAAGCACUUUCAGCGAGGAGGAAGGGUAGUGUGUUAAUAGCACAUUGCAUUGACGUUACUCGCAGAAGAAGCACCGGCUAACUCCGUGCCAGCAGCCGCGGUAAUACGGAGGGUGCAAGCGUUAAUCGGAAUUACUGGGCGUAAAGCGCACGCAGGCGGUUUGUUAAGUCAGAUGUGAAAUCCCCGCGCUUAACGUGGAACU